GCACUACCGGGGAGUCCUACAAUAGGACGAAACGGCCGUCCAGUGC
rnacentral:hammerhead_ribozyme from 1 species